AACCCGGAACUGAAGUCGAAACUUUCAACCCGGAAAGAAGAUUUUCAUCAUCGGCAUUCAAAUUUGGAAUGUCUGGUAACAAGAUAUCUUCGACUCAACAGCUUGUUAAGAAGGAUAUAAAAUCUUUCUCUUAAUUUACAACGUGUUGAGAAAAAGAGUUGACGCAAGAAGUUCCUGGCUUUUCAGCAUGUUGGCCCACAUACUCCUAAGAAUUUCCGAAUGCCUGAAUCCCGUGUUCUACAAUCUAGGUUCCAGUCAAAUGAGAGAAGCUACGUUCAAAUUUCUUCGAAUUGGAGAGAACGGACCAGCAGGAGAACCAAUACCAUUAGAUGGCGUAAAAGAAAAAUCUGAACAAACACACACAACAGCCGCUAGUUCGGUAUGACUGUGGCAUCGGAUGAUUAUAUUGAAUCUAUCUGUCGAAAAAUGGUUCGCGCAUUGGAAUGCAUCAAUAACUUGAAACCGUUUGAAUUAUUCCGAAAGUGGCCCCAUAUUGUUGGUAAAGCCUUGACUAUCCUAAUGAACAAAAAUACAAUACAAGUCUAUAUGUUUUAACAUUAUAUAAAGUUAUUUUUUAUCAUAUCUGUUGUGGCUAGUAAAAUUUCAUUUAAGCAUUUGAUGUUGUUUAGUCCUUAUUUACUUUUUCGUUGUUUAGUCCCGAUUUUUUUUUUCAUGUGUUGUUUACAUCACCUAUUGAAUAAAAACCUCAUUUGAUAAACAA